AUGCAGCACAUGGAGGUUCCCAGCUACAGAUUAAAUCAGAGCUGUAGCUGCUGGCCUACACCACAGUUAUGGCAAUGCCGUAUCCUUAACCCACUAAGCAAGGCCAGGGAUCGAACCUGCGGUCCUCACGGAUGCUAGUCAAAUGUGUUUCUGCUGAGCCACAACAGGAACUCCAAGGAACCUGAAUUUUUAACAGGCAUCCUGGAUGAUUUUAAUAUCCUGACCACCAUUUCAGAAACACUAUUUUAUACAUAUAACAAUAACACACAGUAAUUUUAGACUAAUAUUUAUUAUGUACCUAGUAAUUCCAGGCACUUUUCACGUUUAUUCCUAAUGGUGGUGGUAAAACUGCUAAGCCACCAGGAUAUAAAACAUUACACAUAUAAAUCCUAGAGGAACUAAAGAUUUAAAUGUAAAAAAAAAAAAAAAAAGAUGUACGAUUUUAGAACAAAAAUCUAGGAGACUCUAUAACCUAUGAUUGGAGUAACACUUUUACCAAUUUAACUACUUUUUUUCCAAACAAAACAGCAUUCAGACUUUAUCAAGGAAAGGAGAGAUACAUUAAUUAAAUAAAAAUAAAAUUCAUAUGUCAAAAACUACAACCAAAUUCAAGAGAUAAAUAGAUAACAGAGUGGGAAAAUAGGUCUAACAGGUUUAGUCAAUAAAGUGUCAACAUACAUAAUACCUAAAGAGCUGGUUUUUCUGGUCUUCUUUUUCUUUUUUUUCGUCUUUUAGGGCUGCAAACGCGACAUGUGGAAGUUCCCAGGCUAGGGGAUGAAUUGGUGCUGCAGCUGCCAGCCUGCACUACAGCAACGGCAAUGUGCGAUCCAAGGUGCAUCUGUGAUGUACACCACAGCUCUCGGCAAUGCUGGAUUGUUAACCCACUGAGCAAGGCCAGGAACUGAAUGGAUACUAGUUGGAUUUGUUACCACUGAGCCACAAUGGGAACUCCUUACUGCUUUUUUUUUCCUCCCCAUAAAGAGCUUCUUACACAUAGAUUAGAAAAUAGUAGUAAGCAUUUAUAGGAAAAGAAAUUCAAGCAACCAAGAAGUUAUUACUCUAGUGAUUAAUGUACUACUUAAUAAACUAAUCCUUAACUACCGAAUUUAAAUAUUAUGUAUAAACUGGAUACUCUUUUAACUCUCCUAGUUGUCUAUUCUUCUGCUAACAUCACACUCUUUUGUUAAAAUGCCUAAUAUAAGUUUCAAAAAUAGUAAGUUCUCUUUCACUAAAUUUUGUAUUCUCUUCUUAGACAUCAAUUCCUUUAUAAAAACUUGGAAUUCAUUUAACCCAGUUCCACAGCAUUUUUCACAGAUUUCUGUGCUUGCAAAUCCCUAAACAGAUUAUCAAUAAAAUCUAGUAUCACGAGGUCAUAUAUUGUAGAGUGCAAAACCUAAAAAUAUAGGCUUUGCAGUAUGGGUCCAAAUCCACGAUACUCUACUUUUUAGUUAAGUUGCUUUGGGCAAGUGUCUUAACCUAUUCUAUGAAAUAACAAUAACUUACCACCGAGGCUUUAGAGGGUGAAAAAGGAUAAUGUACAUAAGGCAUUUAACAAAUAGAAGUUUUUCAAUAAAUACUAGGUCUAUGUUAUGACUCCACUCAAAUCCUCUGUACAGUGGAAAAGGUCCAUCCUAUAACUUGAGAAGGGGGAAAACUCCCUGCCAGUAAAGACUUGGUUUUCCAAUAAGGAGUUCAGAGCGCGAAGUGAGUGUAACUUAGUUGAAAACACAUUUAAUACCCCUAACCUAUGGAACAUCAUAGUUUAGCCUAGGUUACUGUGAAUGUGCUCAGAACACUUACAUUAGCCUACAGGUGGGCAAAAUCAUCUAACACAAAACCUACUGUAUAAUAAAAUCCUGAAUACCUCAUGAAAUAUAUUGAACACUGUACUGAAAGUGAAAGACAGAAUGGCUGUAUUGGUUAUUUACCCUCCUGAUUGUGUGGCUGACUGGAUGCUCUCAUAACGCUGUAUGAGAGAGUAUGGUAAGGCAUAAGGUUGACCUGGGGAAAUAUUAAAACUCAAGAUUCAAAGUAUGACUUCCACUGAAUUGCUUUUAAACCAUCAUAACGUUGAAAAAUCUUAAGUUGGGCACUGUCUACAGAUUGUAGCAGUAACGAAGUUGAAAACUGAAUCUGACAGGGAUAUAAAUGGAGGAGAGAAGCAGCUAGGAAGAUAAAUGGAAGAACUGUUUUUAAUCACAACUCCGUUGAGAACGGUUUAUAUUCCAAUUAGAAUCUGAUAUGAAUAUCGUUUUUCAUUGUAGUUAUAUACCCAAGUUUUCAUUUUUCAACAAAUUUAAGAACUAUUUUAAGUGAAACUGGGAACUCCUAUUAUUUGUAUAUUCAAUAAAUAUUUUUUGAGCACCUGCUAUGUGCUAGACACUCUGCUAAGUACUAGGUAUGUACUUAGUAUAAAUGUGGCAAAAAUAAAACAAAUAUGGCUCCUGAACUUAUUUAAUGAAGGAGAAGAGAUAAUAAUCAAAUAACUAAGUUAAAAUUACAAAUGAGAAAGGCUAUGAAAGAAAUUAAGAUCAGGUGGUCAGGAAACUCCUUUCAGAGGGGGUGCUGGCUACUUCUCAUUCUUCAGAUCUAAGGUACACAAGAAAGAUGUGGACAGAAAACAGCGAGCAAAGGGAGCAGCUAAAAAUGCAAAUAGAGAGGUAACUAAGAACAGGACGAUAGGGUCAUGUUAAAGGGAUUGGAUUUUUAUUAGAAUCAACCUAAAAGUUUUAAGAAAAUUGCUUAGGUAUUUUUAAAGACCACUCCAACUAUGCACAGAGAAUGUACUAACUGAAUGAGAACAGAAGUGAAGAGGGGGAACCAAUUAGGAAGCUAUUAAAAUAGUGUUGAACACAGAAUGGUGGAAGGAGACAAUAAACAAGCUCUACUAUAGCUAUCAAAUACCACUACCAGUUACUGUAUACUUACUGUACUUAGUUUACGCAACAACUGUUCAGGAGAAGAGUUCUAUCAUACAGUCGUGUCAAAGCUAUCAAAUUAGCAUUAAAUCUCAAAAUACUGAGUCAUUUUAUCCUGCCAGUUAAUAUCUAGCAAAGUUUGUAACAAAAAUGUAAACAUGAAACUGUAAAACCAUGAGGAAAAAUAUUUUAGGUCUUUCCCCAAAUUUUAAUAAUAAUUUUUAUACUGUAUCCAUCUUAUCUUUCUGUGUAAAUAUGAGAACAAAACUGAACUCAGAAAACUAUCCUUACUUUUAUACCUGUAACUGCAAAACCUUUAAUGAUAAAAAUCAGAAAAUGAAGAAAAAAACCACCAUUAUUACCCAACUGGGUGCAGCAAAUUAUAAUGAUGACCUAUAUAUAAAACAACCCCCUCCCACCCCCAAAACACACGGUUUGGUUGCAUUGCACUGGUAGUUUAUCUACACUAGGGCCCCCAAUAUCUCAUAGUCCCUCUUCUCUGGGCAUUCAUUAAAUAUUUACUAAGUGCCAAUUAUGCACAGUUACUUUGGUAUAAAGGGCCUUCCUCCACUCAGCAGAGAAUAAAAUAAUGGUUACAAUAGUGCUCUUAAUGUAGGCAUCUGGCCAGAAGGAUGAAACCCAAAGCUUCUCAGAUCCAUCAAAUUUUUUCUCCAGCCCUGCCAUAGCAACAGUGGGGGAACUGGGAGAUGGCAGGAAUGAUCUGCACCUAGUAGAAAUGGCUAAUGUGACAAGGAGGAAAGACUCCACAAGUUCUUACAUGAUGUUUACCUGCAGACAAAAUGGGAGUAAUAGAAACGAGUCUUUCAAUAUACUAAUGACGCCCCCCCAGAGUUUUAUCCUCCAUCAUUUAGCAACUUUUGGGAACUUCUGCUCAAUUUCCCUGUUCAACUUGUUAAUCGGAGUGAUUCAAAUGAAUCGCCAGUGAUGUAAACCAGUAUCUACUUUCCACACUCACUGAGAAAUGAUGCUAUGUCCAUUCAUCCUUCAGACAUUGGUGACACAGCAAAAACAGUAAUGGUAACUAGAAAAAUCUCUUCCCCAAUGUAUUACUGGAUAAUCAACAGCUUUUUGGUAAUGAAACAGCCAAGGAACAGGAAAAGGCCUGUAUACUGUGAUUAGCCAAACAAGAGCAAUGAAAAAAGAUGGAGAGAUAAAAAAGUCUAAUAAAAUAUAAUUAACAGAAGACAGUAUCUUCAAUUUUUGCUCAAUUACCUCCCCAUCAUUUAUUAAGUUUCAAUUAGUAACUACCCAUUUAUCCAGUAUUGACCAUAAGCCAACACUGCCCAUUAAGCCAACUGGCAGUAAUAAAAUGUCUCACAGGCAUAAUAUCCAGACAUAUUCCAAUCACCUGAGCCAACCAUUACUAUGUAAUUGUGCUGACUGCAUUAAGAGGCAAGGGCAUCUCCAAUAAUUUCUGAUUUUUAGAGAAAGUUCACAUAAGGACCACAGAAAACUAUGCGGUUUAUGGGCUCAUUUGCAUGCUCACUCUGAAUCCUCUAUAGCAGUGGUUCUUGCACAAUAAACCUUCUACUACUCUACUAAAACCCAGAUCCUCUCCUGAGAAAAGCACACAUGUGCAUACAAAAUGUAGCAAACAAUUUCAGUUUUAAAAAAAUUACUUCAUGCUUAUCCAGGGUCAAGACCCCUGUUAUCAUUAGUAUAGCCUCUUUCAGAACAAAGUUAAUAGAGUUGUGAUAGAAAGAUUCAUGAGCAGGUCAGGGAAAAUUCAAGGUAAAGACACCACAAAGGUGAGAGAUGAGAUUCACAGCUAUGCUCUGAAGUCUUACCAUUGCAGCACAUAUUGCUUAUUCAUUCAUUCGACAAAUACUCAUUGGGCAUCAUUUUGAACUAGUUAAGUGCUAGAUGUGAUAGUAGAUAGAACUACUAUCAUAUGUAGCUCAAAGUUCCUGCUCUCAGGUAGCUUAUAAGGACCAGUGGAAAGACAAUCAAUAAUAU
ensembl:lncRNA